AUACUUCCUUCAGCUGCAUACAUGUUAAAAUUGGGACAAUACAGAAAUUAGCAUGGUCCCUGAGCAAGGAUAACAUGCAAAUUUGUGAAGCGGUCCAAAAAUUU